GAGUUUGAUCGUGGCUCAGGAUGAACGCUGACGGCGCGCCUAAUACAUGCAAGUCGAACGGCACCCCUCUCCGGAGGGAAGCGAGUGGCGAACGGCUGAGUAACACGUGGAGAACCUGCCCCUCCCCGGGAUAGCCGCCCGAAAGGACGGGUAAUACCGGAUACCCCGGGGUGCCGCAUGGCGCCCCGGCUAAAGCCCCGACGGGAGGGGAUGGCUCCGCGGCCCAUCAGGUAGACGGCGGGGUGACGGCCCACCGUGCCGACAACGGGUAGCCGGGUUGAGAGACCGACCGGCCAGAUUGGGACUGAGACACGGCUCAGACUCCUACGGGAGGCAGCAGUGGGGAAUCCUUGCGCAAUGGGGGGAACCCUGACGCAGCGACGCCGCGUGCGGGACGGAGGCCUUCGGGUCGUAAACCGCUUUCAGCAGGGAAGAGUCAAGACUGUACCUGCAGAAGAAGCCCCGGCUAACUACGUGCCAGCAGCCGCCGCAGUAAC
rnacentral:rRNA from 1 species